CAUAGCAUUACAGGAUGGCAUCAUCCGGUAAUUAAAGUCACAACGGUGGAAGAUGAGCAUGCGUCCCAUUAGCUAGUUGGUAAGGUAACGGCUUACCAAGGCGACGAUGGGUAGGGGUCCUGAGAGGGAGAUCCCCCACACUGGUACUGAGACACGGACCAGACUCCUACGGGAGGCAGCAGUGAGGAAUAUUGGUCAAUGGGUGCAAGCCUGAACCAGCCAUGCCGCGUGCAGGAUGACGGUCCUAUGGAUUGUAAACUGCUUUUGUACGGGAAGAAACACUGAUUCGUGAAUCAGCCUGACGGUACCGUAAGAAUAAGGAUCGGCUAACUCCGUGCCAGCAGCCGCGGUAAUACGGAGGAUCCAAGCGUUAUCCGGAAUCAUUGGGUUUAAAGGGUCUGUAGGCGGUCUUGUAAGUCAGUGGUGAAAGCCCAUCGCUCAACGGUGGAACGGCCAUUGAUAUCUGCAGGACUUGAAUUACCCGGGAAGUAAUCUAGAAUAUGUAGU
rnacentral:rRNA from 1 species